rnacentral:lncRNA from 1 species
AACAAUACCCCAUCACAACCUCAAUGGUUAGUAGUCCACAGCCUUUCCAUCAUCACUGCAUGGCAGAAGAGGAGGAGAGGCACCAUCAACUUCUUCCACCACCACAAGGAUGAGAGCUCUGGGUUGCUGCUGCUGGUGCUCAUCCCCUGCCUGGCAUUUCACCACUAGUUUAAGUUAGUUGAAUGGGAGGGCGUAAUAUAUUUCCACUCCAUCAAUCAUCUUAAAAUUGGAAAUUAUAGGAACAAAAGGAAAGGAAACUAGAAAAUGAAUCUGGACUUUGGGAAUCUAAGUUGGCUUACUUGUCACUUCCAUUAGAUAUCUUCUCUUCAGAGUUCAAUGUCAAGUGGAGGAGAUGCAUCAGAAGCCAAAACUAGGAUGGAAUGAGCCAACUUUGUGCCUGUUCAGAUGUGUUCUAUUUGAUACUAGUUCUACCCUUUUUUUAUACCUCAAACGUGGAAUCAAGUUGGGAAAAGUAGUUUUCUCUUGAUACCUCUUAAGCUUUCUUUCUCUUCAUUAAUGAUACAGAAACAAAUUGAUCAGUAUUUUGUAUGUUGGUGAAGAAAGUUAAAUAUGUUCUUGGGAUGAUUUGUAAUUGCAGGUGUUAACCCUGAUCGUGGCUCAGUGGAGCUCCUGUUAACUACUGAGGCGCUCUCUAGUCUCACUCUUUUGUUAUCCAAUCCAUAUUCACAACACUAUGAGAGGCCACGCCUUUUGUUCUUUGACCUGCACAUUGUUCCUCAUCUUCUGCUUUUACUGUCUCUUAUUUUCUUUUAACCCUUUUCUGAUUUGUUUAUUUAUGUUGAUUACUGUGAGAUGUCUAUCUGGCUCUCUUUCGAGAAUUGAUAAUGGGUUCUUUUUACUUUUCCCUAGUCCUAAGGUAGUCGAGAUAUUAGAAAUAUAGUUUGGAAUCUUGUUAACAUGAAAUUUUUGAAGGACUCUACGUGCCAGAAUUGACCCUUUCUAUCCUGUUUUUAUGAAUCUUAUUACGUUUGUAUUCAGAAAGUAGUUUACUUUAAAGGCUGUGGAAGGUUGGCCAAGAAAAUGAAGCAGGGAUGAUGGUUGAUCAGGAAAGAUAUGAAUCUUAUUACGUUGGUAUUCAGAAAGUAGUUUACUUUAAAGGCUGGAAGGUUGGCCAAGAAAAUGAAGAAGGGAUGAUGGUUGAUCAGGAAAGAUAUCCGCCUAGGGAGCCUUAUCCAGAGCACAUGAGAUGGUUUGUUUGGAUGUGAGAUUCUCCCACGUCUCAUAAGAGUCCCAAGUCUUCGUUUGAUGUUUCUUGUAAAAUAAACUUUGCUUAACAUUAUACUUUCCAGUUCCAUUUGAUGCUAAAGUCAAUGUCUAUUAGUCUCAAAUGAAAAAGACAUGAGGAUUAAGAAGUUCAAAAUGAGUUGUAGGAGUUAAACCUAUGAAUGUUUUUAAUAACAUUGAAGUUAC